CUGGGCCACGGGGCGAUGGCGCGGGUAGGACGCAUCCCUCAGAGGCCAGGAGGAGCGCGAGAAGGUCCCAGGACCCCCUUGGGAGGCGCCGCUCCCGAGAAUGUAGAGCCUGGGAGAUACCACCGCACGGAAUGGGGCAUUAGCCCACCAGGGAGCUUCGUCGGGAGAGGUCCAUGGAGCUGGAGCUGAGAGUGCGGCUGUCAGAGAGACCUGUGCCUCCAGGCUGUGGGCAGAGGGGGCAGGUGGCUCAGCCCUGUGCUGCUGCCAGUCUGUGCCUCCCUGGCCUGAAGGGGUCUGACCUGGCAGAGGCAGCCGGAAUCCCUGAGCUGGGCAGAGGCAAUGGCAGUUCUGACCCAAGGCCACACCCUGGUGCCCUGACACUCCCGUCCAUCUCCACAGUGACGGUGUUAGCACUGGCCGUUUACACGUCCACCCCCAGGAGAGGCUGGGUUCCCCUCGUGUCUCCCCGUUGUCCAGCCCAAAGUAGGCCUGAGACAGAGCCAGGAACUGUUGCUGGAUGAAGAGGCAUGCUGGAGGGAAGCUUGGCAGCACGCAUGCAGCCCCGGCCGCAGCUGCCCAGUGCCCAGACACCCGCCUGCCCCUACCUGGGUCGGCUCUUCCACGCUCUUGUUGAGGAAGUUGAGGGAACUGGCCCGCUUCAUCCUGAGGGAAAAGGACAGCCUGGGAUUUGCCCAAGGAGGAACUCACGGGAGAUGGGGGCAGGGA
rnacentral:lncRNA from 1 species